rnacentral:lncRNA from 1 species
AAGGCUAUGGCCCACCCGUUUUUGUGGCCUUUUUCCGCUGGACGAACUUGGCGGCCCGGCCUUCGGGCGGUUAUUUUUGUACGCGGCUGUGCCCGCGGCAUAUUUUUGGCACACGGAGGCGCCUCACAAAGUCUUGCGCCAUUCCGAGUCCGGCGGACGAAGUGGGCCAGCCCCACCCCCCAAGGCUAUAGCCCACCCGUUUUUGUGGCCUUUUUCCGCUGGACGAACUUGGCGCCCCGGCCUUCGGGCGGUUAUUUUUGGGCGCGGCUGUGCCCGCGGCCUAUUUUUGGCACACGAAGGCGCCUCGCAAAGUCUCGCGCCAUUCCGAGUCCGGCGGACGAAGUCGGCCAGCCCCACCCCCCAAGGCUAUAGCCCACCCGUUUUUGUGGGCUUUUUCCGCUGGACGAACUUGGCGCCCCGGCCUUCGGGCGGUUAUUUUUGGGCGCGGCUGUGCCCGCGGCCUAUUUUUGGCACACGGAGGCGCCUCGCAAAGUCUCGCGCCAUUCCGAGUCCGGCGGACGAAGUUGGCCAGCCCCACCCCCCAAGGCUAUAGCCCACCCGUUUUUUGUGGGCCUUUUGCGCUGGACGAACUUGGCGCCCCGGCCUUCGGGCAUUUUAUUUUUGCACGCGGCUUUACACGCGGCCUAUUUUUGGCACACGGAGGCCCCUCGCAAAGUCUCGCGGCAUUCCGAGUCCGGCGGACGAAGUUCGCCAGCCCCACCCCCCAAGGCUAUAGCCCACCCGUUUUUGUGGCCUUUUUGCGCUGGACGAACUUGGCGCCCUGGCCUUCGGGCGGUUAUUGUUCGGCGCGGCUUUGACCGCGGCCUAUGUUUGGCACCUGGAGGCCCCUCGAAAAGACUCACGGCAUUCAGAGUCCGGCGGACGAAGUUGGCCAGCCCCACCCCCCAAGGCUAUAGCCCACCCGUUUUUGUGGCUUUUUUCCGCUGGGCGAACUUGGCGCCCCAGCCUUCGGGCGGUUAUUUUUUAACGCGGCUGUGCCCUCAGCCUUUUUUCGCACACGGGGGCACCUCGUAAAGUCUCACGCCAUUCCGAGUCCGGCGGACAAAGUUGGCCAGCCCCCCGCCCCAAGGCUAUAGCCCACCCGUUUUUGUGGCCUUUUUCGGCUGGACGAACUUGGCGCCCCGGCCUUCAGGCCGUUAUUUUUGGGCGCGGCUGUGAUCACAGCCUAUUUUUGGCACAUGGAGGCGCCUCGCAAGGUCUCGCGCCAUUCCGAGUCCGGCGGACGAAGUUGGCGAGCCCCACCCCCCAAGGCUAUAGCCCACCCGUUUUUGUGGCCUUUUUCCGCUGGACGAACUUUGCGCCCCGGCCUUCGGGCGGUUAUUUUUUGGCGCGACUGUGCCCGCGGCCAUUUUUUGGCACACAGAGGUGCCUCGCAAAGUCUCACGCCAUUCCGAGUCCGGCGGACGAAGUUGGCCAGCCCCAUGCCCCAAGGCUAUAGCCCACCCGUUUUUGUGGCUUUUUUCCGCUGGACGAACUUGGCGCCCCAGCCUUCGGGCGGUUAUUUUUGGGGUCGGCUGUGCCCGCGGCCUAUUUUUGGCGCACAGAGGCACCUGGCAAAGUCUCGCGCCAUUCCGAGUCCGGCGGACGAAGUUGGCCAGCCCCUCCCCCAAAGGCUAUAGCCCACCCGUUUUUGUGGCCUUUUUCCGAUGGACGAAUUUGGUGACCCGGCCUUCGGGCGGUUAUUUUUGGGUUCGGCUGUGCGCGCGGCCUAUUUUUGGCGCACGUAGGCACCUCGCAAAUUCUCGCGCCAUUCCGAGUCCGGCGGACGAAGUUGGCUAGCCUCUCCCCCCAAGGCUAUAGCCCACCCGUUUUUGUGGCCUUUUUCCGAUGGACGAACUUGGCGCCCUGGCCUUCGGGCUGUUAUUUUUGGGUGCGGAUGUGCACGCAGCCUAUUUUCGGAACACGGAGGUGCCUCGUAAAGUCUCGCGCCAUUCCGAGUCCGGCGGACGAAGUUGGCCAGCCCCACCCCCCAAGGCUAUAGCCCACCCGUUUUUGUGGCUUUUUUCCGCAGGACGAACUUGACGCCCCGGCCUUCAGGCCAUUAUUUUUGGGCGCGGCUGUGCCCGCAGCCUAUUUUUGGCACACGGAGGUGUCUCGCAAAGUCUCGCUCCAUUCCGAAACCGGCGGACGAAGUUGG